rnacentral:lncRNA from 12 species
AUGUUGAUUGUGGCACCGGGGACUCUGAGGCUCAGGACUCACCCUGUAGACACGGGUGGUGUCGGGAGAUACCAGGCCCCGUCCCUCGCCCGUGUGCUCGCUCGGUGGGGGUUUUCUAGUAAGUUCCAGGUCCACGACUUCUUCCCUAGCAGGUCAGGGGCAGGGCAGGUUUUAUUUGCACCGUUGAGGGGCCAGGAAAGGUUAGUUUCGGGAUCUGCCCCCGUCGCAGGCAGUAGAGCGGCCCACACGCAGAGGUGGAGGCACGAUGCCGACUCUCAGGGCUGCGCCCUUGCCCUGCGCUGUCUCCCCUCCAAGCCCCCAGGGUGCGUCUCGUGUGACCCAUGGAGAGUCGGUGGCAGCAGGCCGUGGUGUGUUACAGCCCUCGGAGCGGUGGGAGCCGGGGUCAGGGAUGCCCAGGUGAUGAAAAACUCCCCUCCAGCCGGGCCGGGGCUGGUCUCGGUCCUCGCACUGUCCUUGAGGCUGGCACGGUCCUGCUCAUCCCUCCAGAGAGAUGAGUCGCGUGAAGGAAUCAAAGCGAGGGGCCAGGUUCCAAGGGCAGGUCCACCUGCUGCCGCCCCACCUGCACGGUGUGGGUGCAGCACUCAUCGGAGCCUUCCUGCCCCAGGGGUGGGUACCUGGGCUGAGACGGACGCGUCCGAGGGCUGGGGGGAGGGUUGUAAUCUCCGAGGGCCUGGGAAGGAUGCGGGCUUUGAUCCAGACUCCUGGCAUGAGUUCCAGGCAAACUUGGCCUUGCAGGAGGGGCCAGGUCUGCGCAUCCCGUGCUCUGCCUGCCCCAGGGGCUCACAUGCUGGGGGGGUGGGGUGGGGUGGGGCGGGAAGCCUGCAGAGUGAGGCCGGGGCCCCCGAGCUGCCUCCCUUGCCCCGAUGGUCUCUGCGGUCAGUUGACAUGGCAACUAGAAGUCUCCUCCUCGAUUUUUUUCUCCUUCUGCUCUUUGAAGAAUUUUUUAUAUUAAGUAUCUUUGGAAAAAAAAACAAAAAAAAAACUUUCUAA